rnacentral:rRNA from 1 species
CUGGCUCAGGAUGAACGCUAGCUACAGGCUUAACACAUGCAAGUCGAGGGGCAUCAUGGAGUUGCUUGCAAACUCUGAUGGCGACCGGCGCACGGGUGAGUAACGCGUAUCCAACCUUCCCUAUAGUAGAGGAUAGCCCGGCGAAAGUCGGAUUAAUACUCUAUGUUUUCCGUUGCAGACAUCUAAGAUGGAACAAAGGCUUGCCGCUAUAGGAUGGGGAUGCGUCUGAUUAGGUAGUCGGCGGGGUAACGGCCCACCGAGCCAUCGAUCAGUAGGGGUUCUGAGAGGAAGGUCCCCCACAUUGGAACUGAGACACGGUCCAAACUCCUACGGGAGGCAGCAGUGAGGAAUAUUGGUCAAUGGGCGAGAGCCUGAACCAGCCAAGUAAGCGUGCAGGACGACGGCCCUAUGGGUUGUAAACUGCUUUUAUGCGGGGAUAAAGUUCACUACGUGUAGUGUUUUGUAGGUACCGCAUGAAUAAGGACCGGCUAAUUCCGUGCCAGCCGCGGC